CCAAGCACAAAUAUAUUUUCUUUCGAUAAUCAUUCGACGCACUGAUUAUUUGUGUGUAUGUAGUACCUCGCAUAAACUAUACUUCAUCGAGGCAAUCGCAAAAAAUAUACCAGUAGGAAGCCGUCACAGCCGCCAAUAUUUUUAUUCUCACAAAAUAUAUCAAGCAAAAACACCCCCUGUGGUUCGGGGGGAUCAGAAUACGACCACGGUAACCCCUGCCUGUCGUAAGAGGCGACUAAAAGGGCGAUGUAAGGCAGUAUGAUGUAAAAGUAAUGCAAAAGUGUGAGAAAGAAAAUGUAACUGGCAAGGUGAAAAAUGUAUUGCGAGAAAAGGAAUAAUGUAUUUUCGGUGGGCAGAAAGGGGCCGUUUGUCCCUAGAUCAUGCCGCCUUUUUUAAAAGGGAAACUAUCAAUCAAUCAAUCAAGCAAAAACAAUAUAUUUUCACUGUAUUUGCAUUUUAAGGGAUAUAGGGAAUGUUUUUUGUAUCCUACGUAUAUUAAAUUAGUUAUCUAAUCAUUGAUUCAUUAAAUGAAAACUACCAGUAUAGUGCUGUUCUUUAAACCUUUAUUUACAUUACAUGUUGGUAUGUAUGACUCCUUGUUCAUACUACGAUAUUCUGUUGAAAAGAAAUUCCAAAUUAUAUAGACAAAUAACGUUAUCGAUAUUUACAUCAACGUGGGAUAAGCCGCAGUACGAAAGAUUAAACAUUUACAUAUAAUGUUACAUUACACUUCAAGUGAUUAUUAUGCUAGAAAUCAAGUAACUUUUUGACGUUAUUUUUAAAAAUAUACAAUAACGUGACAUGGUUCUUUCUUCUAGUUGCAAGUUACAUUAUAAAAUAAUCAUGAUUAUGUUUUCAUCAAUAAACAUAUGAAAUAUUUAAAAAUGAGAAAUAAAAUUCCUAUUCUCUUGUCAACUUAAGUUACAGUUCACAUAAUAAAAUGAUUACCGUAAAAAAUGGUAUUUACGCUCUAAGAGAAACAAAUUGAUGGAAAACAUCUAAGAUGUGAGGAUCCAGAUCUGGUGUAAAAAGUAAUGUCUCUAAUGUUGAAGAAUACUUUUGAACUUGUUCAUGAUGCUGUAACAAAAAAAAAAAAAAAAAAACAGAA